GUUCGAACACCAUCACUAGCGGGCUCACUCCCGUGACAUUGUCAAAGUGUGGGGACCAUUCGUGGGACCCGCAGCCGGCAACAGCCGGUUCAACGACUACAAGGCAUUCGGCUGGGGCCGUCCCCCAGUUAAGAUAUAGUCUCAUCCCCCAGAGCGAUCUGGGGGAGCUAUGGCAUUAAAUCAGUUAUCGUUUAUUUGAUAGUACCUCACUACUUGGAUACCUGUGGUAAUUCUAGAGCUAAUACAUGCUAAAAACCUCAACUUCGGAAGGGGUGUAUUUAUUAGAUAAAAAACCAAUGCCCUUCGGGGCUCCUUGGUGAUUCAUAAUAACUCAACGAAUCGCAUGGCCUUGCGCCGGCGAUGGUUCAUUCAAAUUUCUGCCCUAUCAACUUUCAAUCGUAAGGUAGUGGCCUACGAUGGUUUCUACGGGUAACGGGGAAUUAGGGUUCUAUUCCGGAGAGGGAGCCUGAGAAACGGCUACCACAUCCAAGGAAGGCAGCAGGCGCGCAAAUUACCCAAUCCCGACACGGGGAGGUAGUGACAAUAAAUACUGAUACAGGGCUCUUUUGGGUCUUGUAAUUGGAAUGAGUACAAUUUAAAUCCCUUAACGAGGAACAAUUGGAGGGCAAGUCUGGUGGGCACUUCAGUGUUCCGGCUCGGGGGUCCUACGGGCCCUCGCUGCUGACGCCAGCCACACGUCCGGCACUGAAUCGGUGCUGGGCUUAGUGGGCUUCGGCCCGCGAGGUAUCUGGUAC
rnacentral:rRNA from 1 species